CCUGGAAAAAAUGAAGAUGCAGAAUCACCUCAGGAUUUGGAGAAUGUCUCCACGAAUCUCCCACAGAAGUAUGGUGGUGAUUUACGGUGGGCUGCAGUUCACAAACAAGAAUACACCAUAAAUGGACAAGUAGAAGCAGAAGAAGACCUAGAAGUGACAUCAGAGAAUGAGCAAGA